GCCAGUGUGGUUAAGUGGUUAAAACAUUGGCCCAUGCACUGAAGGGUCAUGGGUUCGAUUCCCAGUCAAGGGCA
rnacentral:tRNA from 1 species